AGGACGAACGCUGGCGGCGUGCUUAACACAUGCAAGUCGAGCGGUAAGGCCUUUCGGGGUACACGAGCGGCGAACGGGUGAGUAACACGUGGGUGAUCUGCCCUGCACUUCGGGAUAAGCCUGGGAAACUGGGUCUAAUACCGGAUAUGACCUCCUAUCGCAUGGUGGGUGGUGGAAAGAUUUAUCGGUGCAGGAUGGGCCCGCGGCCUAUCAGCUUGUUGGUGGGGUAAUGGCCUACCAAGGCGACGACGGGUAGCCGACCUGAGAGGGUGACCGGCCACGACUGGGACUGAGACACGGCCCAGACUCCUACGGGAGGCAGCAGUGGGGAAUAUGCACAAUGGGCGAAAGCCUGAUGCAGCGACGCCGCGUGAGGAUGACGGCUUCGGGUUGUAAACCGUCUUCAGCAGGACGAAGCGCAAGUGACGGUACCUGCAGAAGAAGACACCGGCUAACACGUGCCAGCAGCCGC
rnacentral:rRNA from 1 species